CAGUAGCCGCGGGAAUACGAAGGGGGCUAGCGUUGUUCGGAAUUACUGGGCGUAAAGGGCGCGUAGGCGGCCGAUCAAGUCAGGCGUGAAAGCCCCGGGCUUAACCUGGGAAUUGCGUUUGGGACUGGUUGGCUUGAGUUCGGGAGAGGAGAGUGGAAUUCCCAGUGUAGAGGUGAAAUUCGUAGAUAUUGGGAAGAACACCGGUGGCGAAGGCGGCUCUCUGGACCGAUACUGACGCUGAGGCGCGAAAGCGUGGGGAGCAAACAGGAUUAGAGACCCCAGUAGUCCCUGUCUCUUAUAC
rnacentral:rRNA from 1 species